rnacentral:rRNA from 1 species
UACAGAGGUCUCAAGCGUUGUUCGGAUUCAUUGGGCGUAAAGGGUGUGUAGGCGGUUUCGUUAGUCUCGCGUAAAAUCUUUCGGCUCAACCGAGAGCUCGCGCGAGAAACGGCGGAACUUAGAGGACGGGAGAGGUCUCUGGAACUCAUGGUGUAGCGGUGAAAUGCGUUGAUAUCAUGGGGAACACCAAAAGCGAAGGCAAGAGACUGGUCCGCUCCUGACGCUGAAACACGAAAGCGUGGGUCGCGAAUGGG